rnacentral:rRNA from 1 species
UACGUAGGGUUCGAGCGUUGCCCGGAUUUAUUGGGCGUAAAGGGCGCGUAGGCGGUCACUCACGUCCGUUGUGAAAUCGCUCGGCUCAACUGGGCGGGGUCAGCGGAUACGGCGUGGCUGGAGCAAGCUAGGGGGCAAUGGAAUUCCCGGUGUAGUGGUGGAAUGCGUAGAUAUCGGGAGGAACACCAGUGGCGAAGGCGGUUGCCUGGAGCUUUGCUGACGCUGAUGCGCGAAAGCGUGGGGAGCGAUCCGG